rnacentral:piRNA from 1 species
UUAAAAUCNGAUGCACUGUGGAAAGGGC